CACGUAGGGCGCAAGCGUUGUCCGGAAUUAUUGGGCGUAAAGAGCUCGUAGGCGGUCUGUUGCGUCCGCUGUGAAAACUCGGGGCUUAACCCCGAGCCUGCAGUGGAUACGGGCAGACUAGAGGUAGGUAGGGGAGAAUGGAAUUCCCGGUGUAGCGGUGAAAUGCGCAGAUAUCAGGAGGAACACCGGUGGCGAAGGCGGGUCUCUGGGCCGAUAUUGACGCUGAGGAGCGAAAGCGUGGGGAGCGAACAGG
rnacentral:rRNA from 1 species